AAGAGUGAAAGAGUGUUGUGUGCUUUUGCUGAGUUUAGGAUGGUGUCAAUUGUGCCUCAGGAGAAGAGUUUAGACAUUCUGUCCUGAUGAAUGUAAUCAAGUCUUUAUUUCAUGGUUUCUCUUAACGCAAAUACGUACAGGUUCAUAUUCGUCGAUGAGGGUGAGAGGAAAACUAUCGCCAACAGAAAGAAUCCAGAUAGGAAGAGAGAAAAAGAAAGACCAGAGAUGGAUUUUGUGUCCUUUUUAAAACAGCCUCAAUCACCUGAUUCCUCCCUGCCACUUCUCUGCAAAUGAUAGAGUUCACACAUCUAUAAUUCUCUCAUAGGUUCAUGUGGGCUGCUCCUCAUAACCCUGCUCAAACACUACUGAGGCAUCAGGAUCUUCAAGAUUCAUAAUCACAUAACAAUUGUUUUGAGCUGAAGACAGCAGAAGAACAUAAGGAUACCCUGUACUUCUCAGGAGGAUAGGAACAUCAGAUUUGGAAUGGAUGAGGAAACUGAAGCGAAAGAAUGUUGACUAAUUUUGUCAAGGUCACACAACUGGGUGCUUUGGUGGGCUCUUCUGGGGACAAAAGAAAGCACAACAAAAAAAGGAAAUAAAUGGCAUAUGCAAACCCCUAA
ensembl:lncRNA LINC02715 long intergenic non-protein coding RNA 2715